CAUUUAGGCGCCUUUGAAGCUUGGAUUUUGGAAUGUUUCAGUAGUGGACAGAAAUCUGCUGUUGGAAUCUUCUAGUCUUCCAGGUUUAAUUUGAAAUGUUUUUAGUUUUGUUUUGGAGUUUUGUGUGGUAUUUUAUUUCCUUUAUAUCAGUGCCCUUUUGCCAUGCUGUUUUGGGGUGGCUGCCUAACUCUAGUGAAAAUUCUUUCUAUAUUAACGGAAGUUUGGUGUUUUAAAUUCCUUAAUGUUUUGCAUUUUUUUAAAUUGUUUUUAAAGAAAUAUUCUAACUGCUUGCACUGUUACUGUUCUUUGCCAGCCUUUUCAGGAGCCAAAAAAACAAAAACAAACAAACAAAAAAAUACCCAGAGAAAAAACUUUCCUUCUUCCCCCUUCCUGAUGAUGAGUGAGAAGUAUUGAGAACUUUCGGGGUCAGUGCCCUUCUAAACUCCCCUUCCCCCAAUAAUGCAGCUGUAUAAUGAAUGGUAAAUGCAGCGGUUUGGAUUCAGGCACAGCCCCAGCCUGCUUGCAGCAGAGAGAUAAACUGGUAGGUGGCAGCAGAAGAAGGAAUUCUUCAGAUUGAUGGCUACUGAAAGAAUCUACGUAGAAGAGAUAGAGCAUAACAUAUCAAGUGAAGCAAAGGGGGCAGAAAAUGGAAACAGGACUAAAAUGUUUGGAUUUUGACUCUAAAUGGUUCUAUUGAAGUAACCAGUGAUCCUUUUUGCUUAUUACUUCAUUCACAGAAUGGACGAAGAUAGAUUUGACUGUAUGUUUUUUGAAAUGGAGGAUAGAAAUACCCAGAACAAGGAAGCAGUAGCUCUAACCUGUUUGAUUCAAUGUGUUUUCUAAAAUAAAAACACCAGAACUGGGAAUAAAAUAGU